ACAUGCAAGUCGAACGAACUCUGGUAUUGAUUGGUGCUUGCAUCAUGAUUUACAUUUGAGUGAGUGGCGAACUGGUGAGUAACACGUGGGAAACCUGCCCAGAAGCGGGGGAUAACACCUGGAAACAGAUGCUAAUACCGCAUAACAACUUGGACCGCAUGGUCCGAGUUUGAAAGAUGGCUUCGGCUAUCACUUUUGGAUGGUCCCGCGGCGUAUUAGCUAGAUGGUGGGGUAACGGCUCACCAUGGCAAUGAUACGUAGCCGACCUGAGAGGGUAAUCGGCCACAUUGGGACUGAGACACGGCCCAAACUCCUACGGGAGGCAGCAGUAGGGAAUCUUCCACAAUGGACGAAAGUCUGAUGGAGCAACGCCGCGUGAGUGAAGAAGGGUUUCGGCUCGUAAAACUCUGUUGUUAAAGAAGAACAUAUCUGAGAGUAACUGUUCAGGUAUUGACGGUAUUUAACCAGAAAGCCACGGCUAACUACGUGCCAGCAGCCGCGGUAAUACGUAGGUGGCAAGCGUUGUCCGGAUUUAUUGGGCGUAAAGCGAGCGCAGGCGGUUUUUUAAGUCUGAUGUGAAAGCCUUCGGCUCAACCGAAGAAGUGCAUCGGAAACUGGGAAACUUGAGUGCAGAAGAGGACAGUGGAACUCCAUGUGUAGCGGUGAAAUGCGUAGAUAUAUGGAAGAACACCAGUGGCGAAGGCGGCUGUCUGGUCUGUAACUGACGCUGAGGCUCGAAAG
rnacentral:rRNA from 1 species